ACGCAGGGGGCAUAAAUGCAAGUCGAACGAUGAAGGGAGCUUGCUCCUGGAUUAGUGGCGAACGGGUGAGUAACACGUGAGUAACCUGCCCUUAACUCUGGGAUAAGCCUGGGAAACUGGGUCUAAUACCGGAUAUGACUCCUCAUCGCAUGGUGGGGGGUGGAAAGCUUUUUGUGGUUUUGGAUGGACUCGCGGCCUAUCAGCUUGUUGGUGAGGUAAUGGCUUACCAAGGCGACGACGGGUAGCCGGCCUGAGAGGGUGACCGGCCACACUGGGACUGAGACACGGCCCAGACUCCUACGGGAGGCAGCAGUGGGGAAUAUUGCACAAUGGGCGGAAGCCUGAUGCAGCGACGCCGCGUGAGGGAUGACGGCCUUCGGGUUGUAAACCUCUUUCAGUAGGGAAGAAGCGUAAGUGACGGUACCUGCAGAAGAAGCGCCGGCUAACUACGUGCCAGCACGNCCAGGGUAAUAAA
rnacentral:rRNA from 1 species